rnacentral:rRNA from 1 species
UACGAAGGGGGCUAGCGUUGCUCGGAAUCACUGGGCGUAAAGCGCACGUAGGCGGAUUGUUAAGUCAGGGGUGAAAUCCUGGAGCUCAACUCCAGAACUGCCUUUGAUACUGAAGAUCUUGAGUUCGGGAGAGGUGAGUGGAACUGCGAGUGUAGAGGUGAAAUUCGUAGAUAUUCGCAAGAACACCUGAGGCGAAGGCGGGAUGCUGGGCCGACACUGACGCUGAGGCGCGAAAGCCAGGGGAGCAAACGGG